rnacentral:rRNA from 1 species
GACGAACCGUGCGAACGUUGUUCGGAUUCACUGGGCUUAAAGGGCGCGUAGGCGGGUGACCAAGUCCGGGGUGAAAUACUCCAGCUUAACUGGAGAACAGCCCUGGAUACUGGUCGUCUGGAGGGAGGUAGGGGCAAGUGGAACUUCCGGUGGAGCGGUGAAAUGCGUAGAUAUCGGAAGGAACGCCGGUGGCGAAAG